UACGGGAGGCAGCAGUGGGGAAUAUUGCACAAUGGGCGCAAGCCUGAUGCAGCCAUGCCGCGUGUAUGAAGAAGGCCCUUCGGGUUGUAAAGUACUUUCAGUCGUGAGGAAGGUGUUAAGGUUAAUAACCUUAGCAAUUGACGUUAGCGACAGAAGAAGCACCGGCUAACUCCGUGCCAGCAGCCGCGGUAAUACGGAGGGUGCGAGCGUUAAUCGGAAUUACUGGGCGUAAAGGGCACGCAGGCGGUUAAUUAAGUUGGAUGUGAAAUCCCCCGGGCUUAACCUGGGAAUGGCAUUCAAGACUGGUUAGCUAGAGUCUUGUAGAGGGGGUAGAAUUCCAUGUGUAACGGUGAAAUGCGUAGAGAUGUGGAGGAAUACCGGUGGCGAAGGCGGCCCCUGGACAAAGACUGACGCUCAUGUGCGAAAGCGUGGGGAGCAAACAGGGAUUAGAUACC
rnacentral:rRNA from 1 species